AGGGGAAUAGCCCGAAGAAAUUCGGAUUAAUGCUCCAUGGUUUAUCGAUAUGGCAUCGUAUUGAUAAUAAAGAUUCAUCGGUAUAAGAUGGGCAUGCGUAUCAUUAGCUAGUUGGUGAGGUAUCGGCAUACCAAGGCAACGAUGAUUAGGGGUCAUGAGAGGGAGAUCCCCCACACUGGUAAUGAGACACGGACCAGUCUCGUACGGGAGGCAGCAGUGAGGAAUAUUGGUCAAUGGAGGCAAAUCUGACACAGCCAUGCCGCGUGCAGGAUGACGGUCGUAUGGAUUGUAAAUUGCUUUUGUACAAGAAGAAACCUUUAUACGAGUAGAGACUUGACGGUACUGUAAGAAUAAGGAUCGGCUAACUCCGUGCCAGCAGCCGCGGUAAUACGGAGGAUCCGAGCGUUAUCCGGAAUUAUUGGGUUUAAAGGGUUCGUAGGCGGCUUUGUAAGUCAGAGGUGAAUUUCCUAGCUUAACUAGGACACUGCCAUUGAUACUGCAGAGCUUGAAUAAUAUGGAAGUAACUAGAAUAUGUAGUGUAGCGGUGAAAUGCUUAGAUAUUACAUGGAAUACCAAUUGCGAAGGCAGGCUACUGCGUAUUUAUUGACGCUGAUGAACGAAAGCGUGGGGAGCGAACAGGAUUAGAUACCCUGGUAGUCCACGCCGUAAACGAUGGAUACUAGCUGUUCGGUUUUCGUACUGAAUGGCUAAACCAAACGGAUGAGUAUCCCACCUGGGGAGUACGUUCGCAAGAACUAAACUCAAAGGAAUUGACGGGGGCCCCGCAAGCGGUGGAGAUGAUGGGUUUAAUUCGAUGAUACGCGAGGAACCUUACCAGGCCUUAAAUGUGUAUUGACAGAUGUUGGAAACAGA
rnacentral:rRNA from 1 species